rnacentral:rRNA from 3 species
AUCUAUACUGUGAAACUGCGAAUGGCUCAUUAAAUCAGUUAUCGUUUAUUUGAUAGUACCUUACUACUUGGAUAACCGUGGUAAUUCUAGAGCUAAUACAUGCUAAAAACCCCGACUUCGGGAGGGGUGUAUUUAUUAGAUAAAAAACCAAUGCCCUUCGGGGCUCUUUGGUGAUUCAUGAUAACUUAACGAAUCGCAUGGCCUUGCGCCGGCGAUGGUUCAUUCAAAUUUCUGCCCUAUUAACUUUCGAUGGUAGGAUAGAGGCCUACCAUGGUAUCAAUGGGUAACGGGGAAUUAGGGUUCUAUUCCGGAGAGGGAGCCUGAGAAACGGCUACCACAUCCAAGGAAGGCAGCAGGCGCGCAAAUUACCCAAUCCCGACACGGGGAGGUAGUGACAAUAAAUACUGAUACAGGGCUCUUUUGGGUCUUGUAAUUGGAAUGAGUACAAUUUAAAUACCUUAACGAGGAACAAUUGGAGGGCAAGUCUGGUGCCAGCAGCCGCGGUAAUUCCAGCUCCAAUAGCGUAUAUUAAAGUUGUUGCAGUUAAAAAGCUCGUAGUUGAACCUUGGGCCUGGCUGGCCGGUCCGCCUCACCGCGUGUACUGGUCCGGCCGGGCCUUUCCUUCUGGGGAUCCGCAUGGCCUUCACUGGCUGUGUCGGGGAACCAGGACUUUUACUUUGAAAAAAUUAGAGUGUUCAAAGCAGGCCUUUGCUCGAAUACAUUAGCAUGGAAUAAUAGAAUAGGACGUGCGGUCCUAUUUUGUUGGUUUCUAGGACCGCCGUAAUGAUUAAUAGGGAUAGUCGGGGGCAUCAGUAUUCAAUUGUCAGAGGUGAAAUUCUUGGAUUUAUUGAAGACUAACUACUGCGAAAGCAUUUGCCAAGGAUGUUUUCAUUAAUCAGUGAACGAAAGUUAGGGGAUCGAAGACGAUCAGAUACCGUCGUAGUCUUAACCGUAAACUAUGCCGACUAGGGAUCGGGCGAUGUUAUUCUUUUGACUCGCUCGGCACCUUACGAGAAAUCAAAGUCU